rnacentral:rRNA from 1 species
ACGUAGGGUGCGAGCGUUAAUCGGAAUUACUGGGCGUAAAGCGUGCGCAGGCGGUUCUAAAAGACAGAUGUGAAAUCCCCGGGCUCAACCUUGGAACUGCAUUUUUGACUGUCUGACUAGAGUGUGGCAGAGGGGGGUGGAAUUCCACGUGUAGCAGUGAAAUGCGUAGAUAUGUGGAGGAACACCGAUGGCGAAGGCAGCCCCCUGGGCCAAUACUGACGCUCAUGCACGAAAGCGUGGGUAGCAAACAG